AGAACGAACGCUGGCGGCAGGCCUCAAACAUGCAAGUCUAGGGGGCGUAGCAAUACGUCACCGGCGGACGGGUGCGUAACACGUGGGAAUGUACUUACUGGUUCGGAACAACUCAGGGAAACUUGAGCUAAUACCGAAUGUGCCCGAAAGGGGAAAGAUUUAUCGCCAGUAAAUCAGCCCGCGUCCGAUUAGCUAGUUGGCGGGGUAAAGGCCCACCAAGGCGACGAUCGGUAGCUGUUCUGAGAGGAAGAUCAGCCACACUGGGACUGAGACACGGCCCAGACUCCUACGGGAGGCAGCAGUUGGGAAUCUUGGACAAUGGGGAAACCCUGAUCCAGCCAUGCCGCGUGAGUGAUGAAGGCCUUCGGGUUGUAAACUCUUUCGACGGGGACGAUAAUGACGGUACCCGUAGAAGAAGCUCCGGCUAACUUCGUGCCAGCAGCCGC
rnacentral:rRNA from 1 species